GCAACUGUCUAGGAAUGUAGUCAGUAGAAGGAAACCUAGAGCUAACUCAUUAAUUUACAACUGGGUAUUCGCAAGUGCAUAUGACUUGCUAUGUGAAAAAUUUUCAUGAAUUCGUCGCUGGUUUACUGUCGGACCCGGAACGAUGAACUUAAGCCGUUAGCAUAACUAGGGGAACAACAUUGAACAUUGGUAGAUAUUCGUGUGAUGCUCCAGGAUUUCAGUUCUGCAGUCUCAUUGAUCAUAAUACACCGAUACAGGAAUGCUUUGAACCCGAUCUCGUACUUAAUCAUCGCGCCUCGACAGAGUUCACGUGAUAACACAUUGAUGGCAACGACAGCAUCGAUCACAUUUGGUAGUAAUAGAUAGUAUGUAUCAGUAUACUUCUUACAUACCGGUGUCCGUAUACACUACACCAUUAUAUAGCAGUUAUCCCCUCUAUUGUGACAUAACCCCUGGGUGCAUUGUUCAAGAGCGACUAGUAGUCAUAAUCAUGACCAUCCUUUAGCAAUUGACAAACCGGGUUUGGUUUUGCUAACCAUAGUCAUCUAGCGUCUCAUUUUUAAGUGGGUUCCAGAAUCACUUUUAAAUGUCAAUAUACACUGCGUGAGCAUCAGUUUAAUGGAAAGAUUGAACAUUCUACAGUCGUCGAGUAUAGCUUGCAAACUUUUCGAAAUGCUCGUAAGUACAUACAAGCGCGUGAAAAUGGAGCAAUCUAACACCUCUUUUUUCAGAAACCUUUUUCGGAACUGCUUAGGUUGGUAAGAAAGUAAUACUUCGGACACUAAGGCGAUGUCUCUAAAACAGUACCAGUGAAUAUUCUUAGUUUCAUUGAAGCGACUAAAUAUUGCUGCUCAAAGAUUACAAGAACAACAUUACUGUACACAGAACUGGUUCAAAUCUACAUGCGACUGAUAUUCUUGGCAGCUCUGCUAAAUUCAGCGUACUAAGCACAAUCACAAGGUAUUCCACGAUGCAGUUUGUUGUCGAUAAAUUAUACAUGAUACAAUCUUUGCAAUCAGAAUGAACUCCGUUAUCCUCUGAUUGAUUAAACAAGUCACUGGAACGGAAAAUAUAUUAAAAAAAAUUAAAACUCA